GGCACCUCCAUGUUGGACUUCUAGUUUCCAAAGCUGUGAGAAAGUGCAUAUCUGUUGUUUAAAUCAUCCAGCCUAAGUCCAGAGAGCCAAAUGAGUGUGGUGACGUUAUUUCCGGCCUCGUCAGCAUGUGUGUGAUCAACACGAUCACACAGAAGACCGCCGCAUCCAAGAAAGGAGCAAGGAACACAAAGACAUACUUCAGACUGAUUGAACAGAAGGCAAAAUUUUCAACGGACAUGAUAAUGCAACACUUCCAACAUGGAUACAUUUGUUAUAGGCCGAAAAGCUGCAUCAUAUAAUGAAAAUCAAAGAAUUGACUGAAAUUAAAAUUAGUAAAUAUCUCUAUGGUGAUCCACAGAGGAGAAGCAUAAUGUAAUAUGAAAAUCAAAGCACCUAGUUUUUAGUCUUGCUACAGAGCAAUCUUUAUCAAGAUACUC
rnacentral:lncRNA from 1 species